GCGGGGAUAGCUCAGCUGGUAGAGUACGACCUUGCCAAGGUCGGGGUCGCGAGUUCAAAUCUCGUUCCCCGCUCCA
rnacentral:tRNA from 1 species